CUCCUCUGUGCCCGGUGAAGCUCAUAUACCAAACAAGCGGUGCAAGAGGAAUUUGAAGCUCAUAUACCAAACAAGCGGUGCAAGAGGAAUUUCUUUCUGCUCUUAUCAACUAUUUUGUCCCAGCAGUUCGCUUAAGCACUAAAACAUGAACAGAAUCAAUAAAACAUGUGGAGAGAUUCAGACUGAAGGAGGAUUCGAAUACAGACUUCUGUCUAAUAUACUGAAUCAAACCAGUAAUGACUGUGAGCAGAGCUGGUAUUCAGAGGACGGGCGUCUGUUAGCAGAUCCAUCGAAUCCAGACAAACUGAUGUAUCCUGUGAUGUCCAUCUCAUCUGAUCAUCUCGUCACUUCUCACUGUGUGGAUGAACUUCAUCAUGAGAUUCAGUGUCAUUCUAAAAGAAUCACACAUGAGACCGUGUUCAGAGGUGAGAGAGACACUUCAAUUCUCAUCAUGAUGUUUAUGAUGGACAGAUGAUCCUUAAAGACACACUUCACACUGAUAUAUCCCUUAUGUCGUUCCAAACCUGAAUGACUUUCUUUCCUCCAUGAAACACAAAAGCAGAUUUUUGAAGAGAACCUCAUUGUUUUUGGUCCAUGAAAGUAAAGUCAUAGAGGUUUGGAGCAGAGGUUGCGUUAACCGAAUUUUUUUUUUGCAGUCACGGAAAAAUCUGAAGGCCGUCCGUCAUUUUGACAGAUUACACUGAGGCUGAUGUAGCUUGUAAUUCCCACCCCUGUCCAGUUGGUGGUGAGUGUGCUCCAGUGUGGCAGCAGAGCGCGAGUUCAGUCUCCAAAAUAAAAGGAAAACGAUGCGUUUGAUUACACACAGGCGAGCACCCAAUUUAAGUCCAUUUUAUAAUAAUAAAGUUAUAAUACCUAUACUUACAUAAUUAAGUUUCUAAUCCAGUUCGUUUUGUUUUAAAUGGUUUGUUUUAUUUUUCUUGCUGACUAUCAAGUUCACGGUCAACGAAUGGCUUUUCUGAGGUAAAAUGUUACGUGACAUUGUUUCCAACACUGAUUGAACUGAUUAAGACGUGAUGCAGAUUUCGUGUUUAACGACACAGACUCCAGCGGCGGAUCGACACAAACUCCAGAUUCACAUCAGUUCUGGUGGAUUUGUGCUCUUUUCUUCAUCACGGUUGUUCUUCUGCUCUUGAUCUGUUUCAUGCUGCGUAAAAGGAUCUUCAGUUGUGUUUCGAGAGCAGUGACACGAAUCUUUCAGCACAGUGAUUCAGAAAACAGGGAUCCUGAAUCUGGAGUCCAGAUGAAGCUCAGAUCUGAUGCUCCUGAUUCACUGAAUCAAUCUGAAUCUGAACAGUUAAACGGCUCCUUGUCCAGAGCAUGAUCAGUGUGAAUCAGCUCAGGGCUGAACGUCAUUGUGAUCUUUGACAUUAUGAAGGGAGAUUCAGUUCAUUUUGAGCUUCUCAACUGUGUUCAUUCCCUCAUCUGUUCUCUGUUUUAUUAAUGCAUGGUUUAGUUAUAGCGUCCUGAACGCUGAAGAUGUUUAUUUCUGCAUUUUCUUUUGUUGGUUAGUUUAGUUCUCUAACUUUAGUUGUUUUUUUUUGUUAUAUUUAGUUUUUUUUUAUCGCUCCUUCCUCUCCUCCAGAUCUUUUGUUGUUUAUUCUUGUUACGUUGUAUAUAUUGUAAAUAUCUACUUUAUUACUUUACCUUUAUAUUAAUUCACUUAUAUUUAAUGGAAUUAAAACUUUGCAACGAUAUUGCUGGUUGUCUGUCCCUUUUCCUUUUGCCAUCCCAUUACUGCCAUUACACACAUAAUAUUCCUAGACAAAAUAACAUCUAACUAACGAGGGACGUAACAAGCCCAAAGAACCCUUUGUGCCAAAAGGGUUUUUUCUCCUUAUAUAGAACCUUUUUGGCAAAAAGCGUUCUUUAAAGUUGGUUAAAGAACCCUAGGGUUCUAUAUAGAACCCCAAAGAACCUUUUUUUCUAAAUAUAGUAAUUAUGUGUCUGAUUCUCAAUUUCCAACCUAUUUUGGGUUCAUUUUAAGCCAGACAUAUUGUCGAGAAGAGUCCGACAAUU